GGGUUGUGAGGUUAAGCGACUAAGCGUACACGGUGGAUGCCCUGGCAGUCAGAGGCGAUGAAGGGCGUGCUAAUCUGCGAUAAGCGCCGGUAAGGUGAUAUGAACCGUUAUAACCGGCGAUACCCGAAUGGGGAAACCCAGUGUGACUCGUCACACUAUCAUUAACUGAAUCCAUAGGUUAAUGAGGCGAACCGGGGGAACUGAAACAUCUAAGUACCCCGAGGAAAAGAAAUCAACCGAGAUUCCCCCAGUAGCGGCGAGCGAACGGGGAGGAGCCCAGAGCCUGAAUCAGCAUGUGUGUUAGUGGAAGCGUCUGGAAAGGCGCGCGAUACAGGGUGACAGCCCCGUACACAAAAGCGCAUGUGCUGUGAGCUCGAUGAGUAGGGCGGGACACGUGGUAUCCUGUCUGAAUAUGGGGGGACCAUCCUCCAAGGCUAAAUACUCCUGACUGACCGAUAGUGAACCAGUACCGUGAGGGAAAGGCGAAAAGAACCCCGGCGAGGGGAGUGAAAAAGAACCUGAAACCGUGUACGUACAAGCAGUGGGAGCACAGGUUUACCUGUGUGACUGCGUACCUUUUGUAUAAUGGGUCAGCGACUUAUAUUCUGUAGCAAGGUUAACCGAAUAGGGGAGCCGGAGGGAAACCGAGUCUUAACCGGGCGUUAAGUUGCAGGGUAUAGACCCGAAACCCGGUGAUCUAGCCAUGGGCAGGUUGAAGGUUGGGUAACACUAACUGGAGGACCGAACCGACUAAUGUUGAAAAAUUAGCGGAUGACCUGUGGCUGGGGGUGAAAGGCCAAUCAAACCGGGAGAUAGCUGGUUCUCCCCGAAAGCUAUUUAGGUAGCGCCUCGUGAAUUCAUCUCCGGGGGUAGAGCACUGUUUCGGCUAGGGGGCCAUCCCGGCUUACCAACCCGAUGCAAACUGCGAAUACCGGAGAAUGUUAUCACGGGAGACACACGGCGGGUGCUAACGUCCGUCGUGAAGAGGGAAACAACCCAGACCGCCAGCUAAGGUCCCAAAGUCAUGGUUAAGUGGGAAACGAUGUGGGAAGGCCCAGACAGCCAGGAUGUUGGCUUAGAAGCAGCCAUCAUUUAAAGAAAGCGUAAUAGCUCACUGGUCGAGUCGGCCUGCGCGGAAGAUGUAACGGGGCUAAACCAUGCACCGAAGCUGCGGCAGCGANNGUUGGGUAGGGGAGCGUUCUGUAAGCCUGUGAAGGUGGCCUGUGAGGGUUGCUGGAGGUAUCAGAAGUGCGAAUGCUGACAUAAGUAACGAUAAAGCGGGUGAAAAGCCCGCUCGCCGGAAGACCAAGGGUUCCUGUCCAACGUUAAUCGGGGCAGGGUGAGUCGACCCCUAAGGCGAGGCCGAAAGGCGUAGUCGAUGGGAAACGGGUUAAUAUUCCCGUACUUGGUGUUACUGCGAAGGGGGGACGGAGAAGGCUAUGUUGGCCGGGCGACGGUUGUCCCGGUUUAAGCGUGUAGGUGUGUGUUCCAGGUAAAUCCGGUUCACUUUAACACUGAGGCGUGAUGACGAGGCACUACGGUGCUGAAGUAACAAAUGCCCUGCUUCCAGGAAAAGCCUCUAAGCAUCAGGUAACAUCAAAUCGUACCCCAAACCGACACAGGUGGUCAGGUAGAGAAUACCAAGGCGCUUGAGAGAACUCGGGUGAAGGAACUAGGCAAAAUGGUGCCGUAACUUCGGGAGAAGGCACGCUGACACGUAGGUGAAGUGAUUUACUCAUGGAGCUGAAGUCAGUCGAAGAUACCAGCUGGCUGCAACUGUUUAUUAAAAACACAGCACUGUGCAAACACGAAAGUGGACGUAUACGGUGUGACGCCUGCCCGGUGCCGGAAGGUUAAUUGAUGGGGUCAGCGCAAGCGAAGCUCCUGAUCGAAGCCCCGGUAAACGGCGGCCGUAACUAUAACGGUCCUAAGGUAGCGAAAUUCCUUGUCGGGUAAGUUCCGACCUGCACGAAUGGCGUAAUGAUGGCCAGGCUGUCUCCACCCGAGACUCAGUGAAAUUGAACUCGCUGUGAAGAUGCAGUGUACCCGCGGCAAGACGGAAAGACCCCGUGAACCUUUACUAUAGCUUGACACUGAACAUUGAGCCUUGAUGUGUAGGAUAGGUGGGAGGCUUUGAAGUGUGGACGCCAGUCUGCAUGGAGCCGACCUUGAAAUACCACCCUUUAAUGUUUGAUGUUCUAACGUGGACCCGUUACCCGGGUUGCGGACAGUGUCUGGUGGGUAGUUUGACUGGGGCGGUCUCCUCCUAAAGAGUAACGGAGGAGCACGAAGGUUGGCUAAUCCUGGUCGGACAUCAGGAGGUUAGUGCAAUGGCAUAAGCCAGCUUGACUGCGAGCGUGACGGCGCGAGCAGGUGCGAAAGCAGGUCAUAGUGAUCCGGUGGUUCUGAAUGGAAGGGCCAUCGCUCAACGGAUAAAAGGUACUCCGGGGAUAACAGGCUGAUACCGCCCAAGAGUUCAUAUCGACGGCGGUGUUUGGCACCUCGAUGUCGGCUCAUCACAUCCUGGGGCUGAAGUAGGUCCCAAGGGUAUGGCUGUUCGCCAUUUAAAGUGGUACGCGAGCUGGGUUUAGAACGUCGUGAGACAGUUCGGUCCCUAUCUGCCGUGGGCGCUGGAGAACUGAGGGGGGCUGCUCCUAGUACGAGAGGACCGGAGUGGACGCAUCACUGGUGUUCGGGUUGUCAUGCCAAUGGCACUGCCCGGUAGCUAAAUGCGGAAGAGAUAAGUGCUGAAAGCAUCUAAGCACGAAACUUGCCCCGAGAUGAGUUCUCCCUGAGACUU
rnacentral:rRNA from 1 species